AGAGAAGAAGUUUAUAAAAUAUUUGACCUGCAAUCAAAAGAAGGUAGAUUCUAGCUGCCCUUUUCUA
rnacentral:tRNA from 1 species